rnacentral:rRNA from 1 species
CAGACGACGACGGGUAGCCGGCCUGAGAGGGCGACCGGCCACACUGGGACUGAGACACGGCCCAGACUCCUACGGGAGGCAGCAGUGGGGAAUAUUGCACAAUGGGGGAAACCCUGAUGCAGCGACGCAGCGUGCGGGAUGACGGCCUUCGGGUUGUAAACCGCUUUCAGCAGGGAAGAAGCCCUUCGGGGUGACGGUACCUGCAAAAGAAGUACCGGCUAACUACGUGCCAGCAGCCGCGGUAAUACAAA